rfam:Schistosoma mansoni strain Puerto Rico chromosome 3, complete genome
GCACUGCUGACGAGUCCCACACUAGAACGAAACUAUCGUCCAGUGC